GCUUCGUUGAGCUGAACUUGUACUCUUAGAAGCUGAUUUGAAAGCUGUUCUAACCAAGGCGAGAUUGCGAUCGAGCCUUGGAUCGUCUUCGACUGACUUGUGAGGACUCUUGGAGGUUACACUUGAGGAUUGGAGCCUUGUUGAGCUGACUAUUGGGACUUCUUGUGACUAUUGGAGCCUAGUACUAGGUGGGUCGGAC